UCCCUGAAGGACCAGUGGUUAGGCCACAGUGCUCUCACCGCUGCCGCCUGGGUUUGAUUCCUGGCUAGGGAA
rnacentral:tRNA from 1 species